rnacentral:rRNA from 1 species
AUGGCCGCGAUGACCGCCAUCCGCCGCGCCGCCGUCGCCUGCCGUGUCUCGCGUCGCCUCCUCUCCCACUCGCGCGCCUCUCCCACCCUCCUCGGCCACUUCUACCACCCCAUGUGCCCGCAGGACCCGCAGGCCUUCCAGCUGCCGCCUGCCGCCGCGCCGGCUUUCCAGCCCCUCACCGCCUCCUCCCCGCGCCUCUCUCUCGACUUCCUCCCCGACAUCUUUGACUACACCCUCUACGACUCCCACCGCGGCCUGCUGCUCCUCCGCCGGAAGCCCCAGUUCGACACCCGCGGCUUCCUCGUCUGCGACCCCGUCUCACGCCGCCACGCGCCGCUUCCCCCGCCGCCCAUCUCCUUCCGGAACGGCGGCGAGGUUGUUGGCGCCGCGCUCCUCUCGCGCGCCGCCCCCGCGGACCCCGAGGGCGGGCUCCGGUUCGAGCUCCUCUGCGUCGCCCUCGACGUCGACCGCCCGCGCGCCUGGGUCGCGUCCUUCCGCGACGGUUGGUGCCGCUGGACCGCGCUGCCGCGGUCGCGCGGGGUCACCGUCGACUUCGACGCCAUGAGGUUCGAGCGGAUGUCCGUGCACGCCGCGGGGGGCAUGUACUGGCACAUCCUCAACAGCCCCGCCGUGCUCGCGCUCGACGCCGCCACCAUGGAGUUCUCCUUCCUCUGGGCGCCGGAGUUUAUGUGGGGGGGCCUCGACGGACCCCACAAGUACCGCAUCGGAGAGAUGCCCGAGGACGGACGGCUGUGCGUCGCGUCGCUGGAGGAACAUGGUCUACAGCUGUGUGUGCGUGGCCAUGGGGACAACGGCUGGGUGCUGGAGAGACGCAUAGCCAUGGAGGAGGUGCUCGACUCGGUGCCGUACCUGCCCAAGAACCCCGUGGUGCGCCACUUCAGGCUGUGGCUAGGCGACGUCGACCGGGGGCGAACCGGCAGGGUGUUCAUCAACACCAUUGGCUUCGGCAACUUCUCCUACGACAUGAACACCAAGAAGCUAGAAUAUUUGGCUGCCGAAGAAGAUGGCAUGACAUUUGGUCACCCCGUUUUUGCCUACUUCUCGACUCCAGAUGAUGGCAUUGGCAUGGGAUCUGCGUGA